rnacentral:rRNA from 1 species
AACGUUACNNNNNNNNUGCCUCGGCGGGAUCUUCUGCCCCGGGUGCGUCGCAGCCCCGGACCAAGGCGCCCGCCGGAGGAAUCAACCAAAACUCUUAUUGUAUACCCCCUCGCGGGCUUUUUUUAUAAUCUGAGCCUUCUCGGCGCCUCUCGUAGGCGUUUCGAAAAUGAAUCAAAACUUUCAACAACGGAUCUCUUGGUUCUGGCAUCGAUGAAGAACGCAGCGAAAUGCGAUAAGUAAUGUGAAUUGCAGAAUUCAGUGAAUCAUCGAAUCUUUGAACGCACAUUGCGCCCGCCAGUAUUCUGGCGGGCAUGCCUGUCCGAGCGUCAUUUCAACCCUCGAACCCCUCCGGGGGGUCGGCGUUGGGGAUCGGCCUUCCUUCACGGGGGCCGUCUCCGAAAUACAGUGGCGGUCUCGCCGCAGCCUCUCCUGCGCAGUAGUUUGCACACUCGCAUCGGGAGCGCGGCGCGUCCACAGCCGUUAAACACCCAACUUUCUGAAAUGUUGACCUCGGAUCAGGUAGGAAUACCCGCUGAACUUA